CCUACGGGAGGCAGCAGUGAGGAAUAUUGGUCAAUGGUCGGGAGACUGAACCAGCCAAGCCGCGUGAGGGAUGAAGGUACAGAGUAUCGUAAACCUCUUUUGUCAGGGAACAAAGGCGGGGACGUGUCCCCGGAUGAGUGUACCUGAAGAAAAAGCAUCGGCUAACUCCGUGCCAGCAGCCGCGGUAAUACGGAGGAUGCGGGCGUUAUCCGGAUUUAUUGGGUUUAAAGGGUGCGCAGGGGUUAUGUUAAGUCAGCGGGCAAAGCCCGGGGCCAAACCCGGGCCCGACGUUGAAACUGGCAGGCUGGAGUUGGAGAGAAGUAGGCGGAAUGCGGGGUGUAGCGGUGAAAUGCAUAGA
rnacentral:rRNA from 1 species